GACGAACGCUGGCGGCGUGCCUAAUACAUGCAAGUUGAGCGAUGAAGAUUGGUGCUUGCACCAAUUUGAAGAGCAGCGAACGGGUGAGUAACGCGUGGGGAAUCUGCCUUUGAGCGGGGGACAACAUUUGGAAACGAAUGCUAAUACCGCAUAACAACUUUAAACAUAAGUUUUAAGUUUGAAAGAUGCAAUUGCAUCACUCAAAGAUGAUCCCGCGUUGUAUUAGCUAGUUGGUGAGGUAAAGGCUCACCAAGGCGAUGAUACAUAGCCGACCUGAGAGGGUGAUCGGCCACAUUGGGACUGAGACACGGCCCAAACUCCUACGGGAGGCAGCAGGAGGGAAUCUUCGGCAAUGGACGAAAGUCUGACCGAGAAACGCCGCGUGAGUGAAGAAGGUUUUCGGAUCGUAAAACUCGGUUGGUAGAGAAGAACGUUGGUGAGAGUGGAAAGCUCAUCAAGUGACGGUAACUACCCAGAAAGGGACGGCUAACUACGUG
rnacentral:rRNA from 1 species